rfam:Clostridium sp. CAG:221 genomic scaffold, scf100
GUAAUCCUGAUAUGUGCGUUUAGCUUAUGUUAUUCAACCUACAUUAUAUUUUCGGGAUUUGCAAUAUGCUUGUAGAUGUUGAGCUUCCUUUGGUAGAAGAUAACAGAAGCAAGUUGAGCAAAACCCACCUGCGAGACGCAGGUGUGAGUAUAUAGGCCACCGGCAUAUUGGGAAUAAU